UGUAGGCCACAGGAGCUGAGGCUGAAGGGCCGGAGCCAGGGAAGUGCUGAAGGGCCCAGGCAGUCCCAUCCUUGCUCUGAGCACUUCUUCCUAGGUUGACCACUCCCUAGCUGAAAGCUGCCAAUUUCUUAGAUCUUCCACCAAUCAUGUCAAAACAACUCAAAAAUUAUGUUAGGUUGUUUCCUCUUAGAUGAUUCUAAUAGUACUAGACAUGCAGUUACGAUAGGAGAUCUGAGGGGGCAUAUAAUGUUCAAAAUACCCAUCCAAAGGGGGACUGGCAGCUUGCGGUGGAAGCAAACAAAACCAACAGGUACAGCAAAGAAGUAACAAGGAAGUACAAUGAUUUUGAGUUUUCCUCAAUAUGAAAAUGCAUCCUCAUAUUCUGCAUGAAGCCAGACAACCGUGUGGCUGAAGGUGGUGAACACAUCCAUUCCAAGAGCGUUUCAUGCAGUUUUUGAAGCAGAUUUCGUAGAGAUGAAGAUGAUGCUGGUUUCCUGGGGACACAACCAGCACGUGGCGGUCCACCCAAGGGUCCCACUGCAGCCCAACGAAUACCACUAGGUGUCAGCGCAGUGCCAUGGAUUGCAAAUACAUUAAAUGACGCAGCGACCGCUGUGUA